AUUUGUCAUGUCCAACAUUUCAAAACUCCAUUAUGGCUGAAGAAACAUUAUAUGUUGUACAAAAUAGAAACAAUGAUGUGCACAUUAUACAGGUUUCCAACACAUUAUGCUAUUAUGAAAUAGACACAUUUGCCGACGACAAAGAAACAUGGCUGCUUGAAAAGAGACUCAAAAAUGCGUACAGUGUGUAUGUUUCAACCAUAGCUUAAGAAUAUACAGAUACAAUGUUUCAACAUCAAGAAAAUCAGUUGGUUCUAGGUA
rnacentral:lncRNA from 1 species